UCUUUGUUCUCCAUUUUAAAGUUUAACUUCCUCAUUAUUUAUGCCUCCUUGACCCUAGUUUCAGUAAACGACCCCCUCCUAGUCCCUAUCACCUACUCUGUCCUUAGUCAUUCUUAGUCACCUGCUCUGUCCUUAGUCAUCCUUAGUCGCCCGCUCUGUAACCAUCCUUCCUGCAGAAACUACCCACCCUGCCACUCUGGCUUGCACCCCUGUCCUCUUUGAAGUAGCCAGUCAAAAUUAGCUUAGAGUGUGCAGUCCAACCCUAGCCAAUAGGGGAGAGACACAAAAGUAGGGACUAGCUGCAUUAGGAAUAAGAACCCUUUCCCCUCUCUUAUCCAGUAUGCUCUUGCCAUUGCUCCAUCCGCAAGACUCACCCUUCUAUAGAAGUAAAUUUGCCUUGCUGGAGUGUUAACUUGUUGCUGGAGUGCUAACUCUUCUUUGUGUCAUCAAAAAGUUAUUUCCAACAUGAAGCUGCACCCUUGGUGGAGGGAACAUCUGACGAAGUUCAAUGUUUGGGGAAAGCAAUAUCUGGAAAGAUUGAACAGUCAGCAGGAGAAACACCUAGGAAAAUUACAAGGCCUGUGAAAGAAACAUCUGAGAAAUUUGCAUGGCCACAAGAAAGACCUUCAAAGACCACACAGGAGGAAAAAGAAACAUCUGUAAAGACUGAAUGAGUGGCAGGAGUAACAUCUAAUAAAAUUGAAGUUUUGGAAGAAGGAACAUCUAAGAUGAUCACAUGUCCUACAAAAAAACAGCUACAAAAGCAAGUACAAAUGGUAUACUGUUGAUGUGGUUGAUAAUUCUGGUAUCCAAGAAGAAAUCUCCCAAGAUCCUACCUAACUUUUUGUAACUAAAGCGGCAUACAUACACAGGUAGUGGGAAAAUGUCUAGAGUGGUGAGUACACAUGCCAACAUUUUUCCAGAAUUUUCUGCCUCCUUAUUAUACCACUUGAG
rnacentral:lncRNA from 1 species